rnacentral:lncRNA from 1 species
CAGAUGUUGUAAAAAAUCAAGAAAGAUCUGGAGGAGGAUAAAAGCCUAGAAGGAAUGAUCAAAAUUCAUAUGCACCCACUGAAGUGAAAAUUAGCUCAUAGCGAACUUCCUUCCAUCCAUUUUACAAACCCUGCAGGAAAAUUCACAUGUUGUAUAAUUUGCAACCGUGUUAACAAAUAAAGCCAUGUAACUUUUACACUACUCAUCUUAGAAAGCACUACAAGAAAGUAAAAAAUGACACGUGACAACAAAUGGAGGGGAAAAAGAAACUAGAUGACUCUUUACAGGAGCAGAAGACCAAUUUUGCGUGUCGCCCUCAAAAACAUCUCAGAAACCCACUAGGGAAUGAGCAAACAAGAUCCACAUGUCAACAGAACUAACUCCUACAAGAAAAAUAUUAAAUGCCAUUUAUUUUUAAAAUCAAAUGAUCAGACUAUUAUUAUGAGAUUAAUAACUUCAGUUACCUCUGUUCAUCAUAUAGCAAGAUGUUAACAGCUUGGAAAAGUUCAGAUUUCAUAUGAAUCAUGAUCACAAAAUGAAAGGUAAAUAAGCUCCUAAAAGCACAAAAAGC